GCGGUUGUAGCUUAAUUUGGAUAGAGCGUCGGAUUUCGGUCCCGAAGGUUGUAGGUUCAAUUCCUACCAAACGUA
rnacentral:tRNA from 1 species